UUAGUGGCAUGUCCUGGACCCGAAGCGGGGUGAUCUACCCAUGGCCAGUGUGAAGCAGCUGUAAGAGGUUGUGGAGGCGCGAACCCACUUAGGUUGAAAACUGAGGGGAUGAGUUGUGGGUAGGGGUGAAAGGCCAAUCAAACUCCGUGAUAGCUGGUUCUCCCCGAAAUGCAUUUAGGUGCAGCGUUGUAGUAACUUGCCGGAGGUAGAGCUACUGGUUGGUUGAGCGGGACUAUCAUCUUAGCAAUGUCAGCCAAACUCCGAAUGCCGGUUUAAGUGUUCUAUGGCAGUGAGACUGUGGGGGAUAAGCUUCAUAGUCGAGAGGGAAACAGCCCAGAUCGCCGGUUAAGGCCCCUAAGGGUGUACUAAGUGGAAAAGGAUGUGGGAUCGCGAAGACAGCCAGGAGGUUGGCUUAGAAGCAGCCAUCCUUGAAAGAGUGCGUAAUAGCUCACUGGUCGAGUGGUUCUGCGCCGACAAUUCAGUGGGGCUCAAGUACACCGCCGAAGCCGCGGCACACUUUUUAGUGUGGGUAGGGGAGCGUCGUGUAUGGGGUGAAGCAAUACUGUAAGGGGUUGUGGACUGUACACGAGUGAGAAUGCAGGCAUGAGUAACGAGUGAUAAGUGAGAAUCUUAUCCGCCGGAUGACUAAGGGUUCCUGGGUCAAGUUCGUCUUCCCAGGGUGAGUCGGGUCCUAAGGCGAGGCCGACAGGCGUAGUCGAUGGUUAACGGGUUGAUAUUCCCGUACCCGUGUAUAUGCGCCCAAGGGUGAAUCGGUGAUACUAACCACCCUGACCGCACCAUAUGAUGAUCCCUUCGGGGGUUGAUCGGUGGUGUGUGAUGCGUGGGGCCUAAACCGUAGUAGCCCAGUGAUGGGGUGACGCAGUGAGGUAGCCUAGCCACUUAUUGGAUUGUGGUGUAAGCGUGUGGCACGACGAUGAGUGAAAUGCUUGUUGUCACAAAGUGUGAGGCGUGAUGCGUAGCCCCUUAAGGGGUGAUGUAGGUGAUCCUGUACUGCCGAGAAAAGCCUCUAGCGAGUGUGUACACGGCCCGUACCCGAAACCGA
rnacentral:rRNA from 1 species